AGAGUUUGAUCCUGGCUCAGGACGAACGCUGGUGGCGUGCUUAACACAUGCAAGUCGAACGGUGAAGCUCAGCUUGCUGGGUGGAUCAGUGGCGAACGGGUGAGUAACACGUGAGCAACCUGCCCCCUACUUCGGGAUAAGCCUUGGAAACGAGGUCUAAUACCGGAUAUGAACGCCUGUCGCAUGGUGGGUGUUGGAAAGUUUUUCGGUGGGGGAUGGGCUCGCGGCCUAUCAGCUUGUUGGUGGGGUAAUGGCCUACCAAGGCGUCGACGGGUAGCCGGCCUGAGAGGGCGACCGGCCACACUGGGACUGAGACACGGCCCAGACUCCUACGGGAGGCAGCAGUGGGGAAUAUUGCACAAUGGGCGAAAGCCUGAUGCAGCGACGCCACGUGAGGGAUGACGGCCUUCGGGUUGUAAACCUCUUUCAGCAGGGAAGAAGCGAAAGUGACGGUACCUGCAGAAGAAGCGCCGGCUAACUACGUGCCAGCAGCCGCGGUAAUACGUAGGGCGCAAGCGUUGUCCGGAAUUAUUGGGCGUAAAGAGCUCGUAGGCGGUCUGUCGCGUCUGGUGUGAAAUCCCAUGGCUCAACUGUGGGCUUGCAUUGGGUACGGGCAGACUAGAGUGCUGUAGGGGAGACUGGAAUUCCUGGUGUAGCGGUGGAAUGCGCAGAUAUCAGGAGGAACACCGAUGGCGAAGGCAGGUCUCUGGGCAGUUACUGACGCUGAGGANNGAAAGCAUGGGGAGCGAACAGGAUUAGAUACCCUAGUAGUCC
rnacentral:rRNA from 1 species